AUUGAACGCUGGCGGCAGGCCUAACACAUGCAAGUCGAACGAGUGGCGGACGGGUGAGUAAUGUCUGGGAAACUGCCUGAUGGAGGGGGAUAACUACUGGAAACGGUAGCUAAUACCGCAUACCAUCAGAUGUGCCCAGAUGGGAGUGGCGAGUGGGUGGGGUAACGGCUCACCAAGGCGACGAUCCCUAGCUGGGCUGAGAGGAUGAGCAGCCACACGGGAACGGUGACACGGUCCAGAGUCCUACGGGAGGCAGCAGUGGGGAAUAUUGCACAAUGGGCGAAAGCCUGAUGCAGCCAUGCCGCGUGUAUGAAGAAGGCCUGCGGGUUGUAAAGUACUAUCAGCGGGGAGGCGUUACCCGCAGAAGAAGCACCGGCUAACUCCGUGCCAGCAGCCGCGGUAAUAC
rnacentral:rRNA from 1 species